ACCACAAUCCAACUUAUAAAAUUCUGGUCCUUUUCAAACAAGAAUGGCACUGCUUAGCGGUGUCUACAUUUCAUAGAGACAGAAAAAUGUUUAAGAGAAGGAUAUUGAUGAAAUGACCAACUGCUAACUGGAGAAGAAAAAUACUCCCCAAAUGCCAACGUUUAGAUUUUAGAGCAGGACUGGAAAUGGAACAGCUGGGUCAUGACCUGG